rnacentral:ncRNA from 1 species
CUUAUCAAGAGCGGUUGAGGGACUAGGCCCUGAGAUGCCCGGCAACCUGUUCGUACUACCAUACGAUAUCAAGGUGCCAAAUCCUACAGAUUUUUUCUGAAAGAUAG